rnacentral:rRNA from 1 species
AUACGUAGGGGGCGAGCGUUGUCCGGAAUUAUUGGGCGUAAAGGGCGUGUAGGCGGCUAUGCAAGUCGGCUGUGAAACCCCCCGGCUCAACUGGGGGCUUGCAGUUGAAACUGUGUAGCUUGAGUGCAGGAGAGGAGGGUGGAAUUCCUGGUGUAGCGGUGGAAUGCGUAGAUAUCAGGAGGAACACCGGUGGCGAAGGCGGCCUUCUGGCCUGUUACUGACGCUGAGGCGCGAAAGCCAGGGGAGCGAACAGGAUUAGAUACCCUGGUAGUCCUGGCUGUAAACGCUGGGUACUAGGUGUAGGUGGUUUAAUGCCAUCUGUGCCGUAGUUAACGCAUUAAGUACCCCGCCUGGGGAGUACGGUCGCAAGGCUGAA